CAGUAGCCGCGGUAAUACGGAGGGAGCUAGCGUUGUUCGGAAUUACUGGGCGUAAAGCGCACGUAGGCGGCUUUGUAAGUUAGAGGUGAAAGCCUGGAGCUCAACUCCAGAAUUGCCUUUAAGACUGCAUCGCUUGAAUCCGGGAGAGGUGAGUGGAAUUCCGAGUGUAGAGGUGAAAUUCGUAGAUAUUCGGAAGAACACCAGUGGCGAAGGCGGCUCACUGGACCGGCAUUGACGCUGAGGUGCGAAAGCGUGGGGAGCAAACAGGAUUAGAUACCCCUGUAGUCCCUGUCUCUUAUAC
rnacentral:rRNA from 1 species